rnacentral:rRNA from 1 species
UUAAGGGCGCACGGUGGAUGCCUUGGCACUAGAAGCCGAUGAAGGACGUUACUAACGACGAUAUGCUUUGGGGAGCUGUAAGUAAGCUUUGAUCCAGAGAUUUCCGAAUGGGGAAACCCAGCAUGAGUUAUGUCAUGUUAUCGAUAUGUGAAUACAUAGCAUAUCAGAAGGCACACCCGGAGAACUGAAACAUCUUAGUACCCGGAGGAAGAGAAAGAAAAUUCGAUUCCCUUAGUAGCGGCGAGCGAAACGGGAAGAGCCCAAACCAACAAGCUUGCUUGUUGGGGUUGUAGGACACUCUAUACGGAGUUACAAAGGACGACAUUAGACGAAUCAUCUGGAAAGAUGAAUCAAAGAAGGUAAUAAUCCUGUAGUCGAAAAUGUUGUCUCUCUUGAGUGGAUCCUGAGUACGACGGAGCACGUGAAAUUCCGUCGGAAUCUGGGAGGACCAUCUCCUAAGGCUAAAUACUCUCUAGUGACCGAUAGUGAACCAGUACCGUGAGGGAAAGGUGAAAAGCACCCCGGAAGGGGAGUGAAAUAGAACCUGAAACCGUGUGCUUACAAGUAGUCAGAGCCCGUUAAUGGGUGAUGGCGUGCCUUUUGUAGAAUGAACCGGCGAGUUACGAUUUGAUG